CUGCUUAUACAUGUGAAUGAUUUGAAUUCACAAAAUUAUGUUGUUUUUUUUUUUUUUUUUUAAUUUUUUUAAACCAUUGCCCAUUGUUUUUAACUGCUGCUUAGAAAUGUGAAUGAUUUGAAUUCACAAAAUUGUGUUUUUUUAUUUAUUUUUUUUAUUUUUUUAAACCAUUGCCCAUUGUUUUUAACUGCUGCUUAGAAAUGUGAAUGAUUUAGGUUCACUUAUAGUCUUUUUGAAAUCAGUGUCUUUUAAUUUUACUGCUCCUUCAAAAUGUUAAUAACUUCAGUUCACUAAAUCUUGUUUGAUGUGUAAAUAGUCUUUGUUGGAACCAUUCUCCAUUGUUUUAACUGCUAUUUAAAAAUGUGAAGGUUUUCAGUUCCCUUAAUAUCUUUGAAAUGUAAAUAGUCUUUUUAUAAUUACUGUCCAUUGUUUUAACUGCUGCUUAGAAAUGUGAGUAAUUUCAGUUUACUAAAUCUUGUUUGAACUGUAAAUAGUAUUGGUUCAAAUCAUUGCCCAUGGUUUUAACUGCUGCUUUAAAUGUGAAUAAAAUGUAAUGUUUUGAGUUCCUUAUUUGUCUUUGAAAUGUAAAUAGUCCUUUUGUAACUAUUGCCCUUUGUUUUAACUACUGCUUAAUAUGUGAUUAACUUCAGUUCACUAAAUCUUCUUUGAAGUGUAAAUAGUCUUUGUUGAAAUAUUAUUAACUGCUAACUAUCAAUAAGAUUUUUUACUUUGGAAUUUCAAAAACGGCCACCGUUGCCAUGAAAACUGCAAAAUUGUCAAUUUUCAAUUUCCAAACAUGCUUUUAAUGUUAUGAAAGUUUAAAUACUGUAUACCCAUGCAUACAUAUGCAUCCCCUGUUAAACAAAUUAAAAAUAGCUGCCGCUUAGUGGCAAUGGGGGAAGGGUGACAUCCGCUAUUGCUUGCAAUGGCAAUUCUAGUUAUUAUUAUUUUUCUUCCACCUAAUUUUGUCCGCUCGCUUUCUCAGAGCCAAAGGAACCAAUCUGAAUGAUGUGCACUAUAACAAGGAACCCUGACUUUCCUGUUGCUUUUCAAUAUUGGCACUAAAAAAAUGGCUGCCAUCACCAUGGAAACGGAAAAAUGGUGAAAAAAUAUAAUUUUGGAGUUAGGUGAAUUGUUUGAGAAUGCUUAAGCUUAAAAUCUUUAGAUUUUAAUACAAUGUAGGUGCCCACUAUAUACUGCUUUGGGAUGAUUUUGGCAAUCAUUGGAACUGCUAUGUUGCCAUGGAU
rnacentral:lncRNA from 1 species